rnacentral:rRNA from 1 species
GCUUAACACAAGUUGAGUAGGGAAAGUUUUUCGGUGUAGGAUGAGACUAUAUAGUAUCAGCUAGUUGGUGAGGUAAUGGCUCACCAAGGCUAUGACGCUUAACUGGUCUGAGAGGAUGAUCAGUCACACUGGAACUGAGACACGGUCCAGACUCCUACGGGAGGCAGCAGUAGGGAAUAUUGCGCAAUGGGGGAAACCCUGACGCAGCAACGCCGCGUGGAGGAUGACACUUUUCGGAGCGUAAACUCCUUUUCUUAGGGAAGAAUUCUGACGGUACCUAAGGAAUAAGCACCGGCUAACUCCGUGCCAGCAGCCGCGGUAAUACGGAGGGUGCAAGCGUUACUCGGAAUCACUGGGCGUAAAGGGCGCGUAGGCGGAUUAUCAAGUCUCUUGUGAAAUCCAACGGCUUAACCGUUGAACUGCUUGGGAAACUGGUAAUCUAGAGUGGGGGAGAGGCAGAUGGAAUUGGUGGUGUAGGGGUAAAAUCCGUAGAUAUCACCAAGAAUACCCAUUGCGAAGGCGAUCUGCUGGAACUUAACUGACGCUAAGGCGCGAAAGCGUGGGGAGCAAACAGGAUUAGAUACCCUGGUAGUCCACGCCCUAAACGAUGUAUGCUAGUUGUUGGGGUGCUAGUCAUCUCAGUAAUGCAGCUAACGCAUUAAGCAUACCGCCUGGGGAGUACGGUCGCAAGAUUAAAACUCAAAGGAAUAGACGGGGACCCGCACAAGCGGUGGAGCAUGUGGUUUAAUUCGAAGAUACGCGAAGAACCUUACCUGGGCUUGAUAUCCUAAGAACCUUAUAGAGAUAUGAGGGUGCUAGCUUGCUAGAACUUAGAGACAGGUGCUGCACGGCUGUCGUCAGCUCGUGUCGUGAGAUGUUGGGUUAAGUCCCGCAACGAGCGCAACCCACGUAUUUAGUUGCUAACACUUCGGGUGAGCACUCUAAAUAGACUGCCUUCGUAAGGAGGAGGAAGGUGUGGACGACGUCAAGUCAUCAUGGCCCUUAUGCCCAGGGCGACACACGUGCUACAAUGGCAUAUACAAUGAGACGCAAUACCGCGAGGUGGAGCAAAUCUAUAAAAUAUGUCCCAGUUCGGAUUGUUCUCUGCAACUCGAGAGCAUGAAGCCGGAAUCGCUAGUAAUCGUAGAUCAGCCAUGCUACGGUGAAUACGUUCCCGGGUCUUGUACUCACCGCCCGUCACACCAUGGGAGUUGAUUUCACUCGAAGCCGGAAUACUAAACUAGUUACCGUCCACAGUGGAAUCAGCGACUGGGGUGAAGUCGUAACAAGGUAACCGUAGGAGAACCUGCGGUUGGAUCACCUCCUUUCUA